rnacentral:rRNA from 1 species
GACGAACGCUGGCGGCGUGCCUAAUACAUGCAAGUAGGACGCAGUUGCGAACGGGUGAGUAACGCGUAGGUAACUGCCUAUUAGAGGGGGAUCACUAUUGGAAACGAUAGCUAAUACCGCAUACUAGUAGAUGGUCCUGCGUUGUAUUAGCUAGUAGGUAGGGUAAUUGCCUACCUAGGCGACGAUACAGAACCGACCUGUGAGGGUGAUCGGCCACACUGGGAAUGGGAAACGGGCCAGACUCCUACGGGAGGCAGCAGUAGGGAAGCUUCGGAAAUGGGGGGAACCCUGACCGAGCAAAGCCGCGGGAGUGAAGAAGGUUUUCGGAUCGUAAAGCUCUGUUGUUAAGGAAGCGGUACUUAACCAGAAAGGGACGGCUAACUACGUGCCAGCAGCCGCGGUAAUAC